rnacentral:rRNA from 1 species
GAGAUAGCACCCUUUGUUUAUGAGCACCUCUCGUUUCCUCGGCAGGCUCGCCUGCCAACGGGGACCCACCACAAACCCAUUGUAGUACAAGAAGUACACGUCUGAACAAAACAAAACAAACUAUUUACAACUUUCAACAACGGAUCUCUUGGUUCUGGCAUCGAUGAAGAACGCAGCGAAAUGCGAUAAGUAGUGUGAAUUGCAGAAUUCAGUGAAUCAUCGAAUCUUUGAACGCACAUUGCGCCCUUUGGUAUUCCUUAGGGCAUGCCUGUUCGAGCGUCAUUUCAACCCUCAAGCCUAGCUUGGUGUUGGGCGUCUGUCCCGCCUCCGCGCGCCUGGACUCGCCUCAAAAGCAUUGGCGGCCGGUUCCCAGCAGGCCACGAGCGCAGCAGAGCAAGCGCUGAAGUGGCUGCGGGUCGGCGCACCAU